AACGUUUAUAGAAAAGUAUACACAAAAUGUACCAAUCAAAUACACAGUAAAUAUAUAUAAUAUCCGAUAAUAAUUAUUGACACAUUAAAACUUUUAUCUUAAGUUUCAAAAAAAUAAUCCGUUCUAAAACUAGACGAUUAAAAAUUGAGUGCUUAGGGUGAUCAACAUGAUGUAAGAUAUUCAUUAUCUCGGAAAGUAUUAAUUUCAUAUAUAUCAAAUCCACGUUUGAUCCGUUUUUCGUAUUUAAGAUUAUUAUACAGUCGAGUCGCGAUAACUCGAAGUUGAAGUGG